rnacentral:rRNA from 1 species
GGGAUAACCCGGGGAAACUCGGGCUAAUACCGCAUGAUCUCUACGGAGCAAAGCGGGGGAUCUUUUGACCCCGUGCUAUAAGAUGAGCCUAUGUCGGAUUAGCUUGUUGGUAGGGUAAUGGCCUACCAAGGCGACGAUCCGUAGCUGGUCUGAGAGGAUGAUCAGCCACACUGGGACUGAGACACGGCCCAGACUCCUACGGGAGGCAGCAGUGGGGAAUCUUGGACAAUGGGGGAAACCCUGAUCCAGCAAUGCCGCGUGUGUGAAGAAGGCCCUCGGGUUGUAAAGCACUUUCAGUAGGGAAGAAAUUCUCAAGAGUAACAUACUUGAGCGUUGACGUUACCUACAGAAGAAGCACUGGCUAACUCUGUGCCAGCAGCCGCGGUAAUACAGAGAGUGCAAGCGUUAAUCGGAAUCACUGGGCGUAAAGCGCGCGUAGGUGGAUAUUUAAGUCGGAUGUGAAAGCCCUAGGCUUAACCUAGGAACUGCACUCGAUACUGGGUAUCUCGAGUAUGGUAGAGGGAAGUGGAAUUUCCGGUGUAGCGGUGAAAUGCGUAGAUAUCGGAAAGAACACCAGUGGCGAAGGCGGCUUCCUGGACCAAUACUGACACUGAGGCGCGAAAGCGUGGGGAGCAAACAGGAUUAGAGACCCUGGUAGUCCACGCCGUCAACGAUGAGAACUAGCUGUUUGGAAAGUAUGAGAACUAGCUGUUGGGGAGUUUACUUUCUAGUAGCGAAGCUAACGCGUUAAGUUCUCCGCCUGGGGAGUACGGCCGCAAGGUUAAAACUCAAAGAAAUUGACGGGGGCCCGCACAAGCGGUGGAGCAUGUGGUUUAAUUCGAUGCAACGCGAAAAACCUUACCUACCCUUGACAUCCUCAGAACUUGUCAGAAAUGACUUGGUGCCUUCGGGAACUGAGUGACAGGUGCUGCAUGGCUGUCGUCAGCUCGUGUCGUGAGAUGUUGGGUUAAGUCCCGUAACGAGCGCAACCCUUGUCCUUAGUUGCCAGCGAUUUGGUCGGGAACUCUAAGGAGACUGCCGGUGAUAAACCGGAGGAAGGUGGGGAUGAUGUCAAGUCAUCAUGGCCCUUACGGGUAGGGCUACACACGUGCUACAAUGGGCAGUACAAAGGGUUGCCAAACCAUAAGGUGGAGCCAAUCCCAAAAAACUGCUCUUAGUCCGGAUUGAAGUCUGCAACUCGACUUCAUGAAGUUGGAAUCGCUAGUAAUCGCGAAUCAGAAUGUCGCGGUGAAUACGUUCUCGGGCCUUGUACACACCGCCCGUCACACCAUAGGAGUCA